rnacentral:rRNA from 1 species
GAUGAACGCUAGCGGGAGGCCUAACACAUGCAAGCCGAGCGGUAUUUGUUCUUCGGAACAGAGAGAGCGGCGCACGGGUGCGGAACACGUGUGCAACCUGCCUUUAUCUGGGGGAUAGCCUUUCGAAAGGAAGAUUAAUACCCCAUAAUAUAUUGAGUGGCAUCACUUAAUAUUGAAAACUCCGGUGGAUAGAGAUGGGCACGCGCAAGAUUAGAUAGUUGGUGAGGUAACGGCUCACCAAGUCAAUGAUCUUUAGGGGGCCUGAGAGGGUGAUCCCCCACACUGGUACUGAGACACGGACCAGACUCCUACGGGAGGCAGCAGUGAGGAAUAUUGGACAAUGGGUUAGCGCCUGAUCCAGCCAUCCCGCGUGAAGGACGACGGUCCUAUGGGUUGUAAACUUCUUUUGUAUAGGGAUAAACCUACUCUCGUGAGAGUAGCUGAAGGUACUAUACGAAUAAGCACCGGCUAACUCCGUG